ACCACUUCCUCUUUCGUUUCUGGAGAACUACACAACAGCCUAGUGCCUGGAUAAUUAACUAGUCAACUGUAUUACAAUUGACGAAUGCAAGAGCUCCUCGGAAAUGACGAUGAAAUGCACUGACAUUAUCAAUAACAAGCUUUCUAGCUGGCCUGGCGAGGCUCUGUUCAGCUAUUGAUUACAAUCCACUCGACAAAGAGUGUAAUGUUAGCUGAAACGACUGGUACCCAGAUAGCGGCUAACAGCUAAACAAAAGCCCGGAUGGUUAACAUAUAGCUAGCUUUCUCCCAAAUAACGUUAAACGAUUGAAAAUGAAUGCCAAAACCCCGUCACCGACAUGACAACGUACAGCGGUUUGUUCUGUACUGCUAUCUGACAUUUACAUCAUUAUUAUGACAAUGACACCAACCAUUUACUGCCUCGAUUCAAGCAGUGUGGUAAAUAGCCUACACAGUUGUUAGCAACGUAGUAGCCAUAUUGAGUUGCCCGGCAAAGCUGUCCACACCACCUGACCUCAGUGCUCGUCUCUUGGCUCCGGGAAUGUGGACAGGUCUCUCGGGGAGAAAAGGCUACCUCCGUGCUAACGUUGGCUAACGCUAGCCGGGCCAUGGAGAAGAUGCGUCCAAUCUGCUCAUCUUGAAUGGAGGCUUGGUGGUCCAGCUCGACGCCAUCCUGCAGGGUCACGAGGACACAGAGCCAGGGACUUCCGCGGUUUCGAGAAGGUGCCUUUCUAUCCCCUGCACCCGGCCGUCUCGCUCAGGGAGCCGGAGAGCAGGAUGACCUUCAGAUGAUGAGGUUAUGGGUCAAGGGGUUAUGCCAUGGUGAUGCUUCAGCUCAGAAAAUGGAGAGUAGUCCUGGAAGUGGAAUUAUUAGAAAGAACAUUCCAUUCAAGUCGUAUGUUCUGUGAUGGAUCUAUUUCUAUGAGGAAAUCUGUCAUUUAAGAGGGUUUCAGAGGAGAGUUUCUAUGUCAUCCCCUGUAGGUCACAGAAGGAGUGCACAUGGAGAGUUGAUGGAUUAAUGUUUGGAUUUGCAUAAACAAAUACAACCUAAAUAAAUGAGAUUGAUACGCUUCAUGUAUUUAUUUACAUUUUUACUUAAGACUAAAGUAUAAUGGCUAAGGAUAGCUAUAAAGUACAUACGAUGAAAUUAAAGUACUUUUUUCUGCAGUGGGUUAAAUCAGGGUGUUAAGGGAUUUUUUUUAAAAUCUAUAAUGACUAAUUAUGUAUACAUUUCAAUCAGGAUGUACUAAUCAGAAUACUAUUAUGUUACUGUAUAUGUACUAAUCAGAAUACUAUUAUGUUACUGUAUAUGUACUAAUCAGAAUACUAUUAUGUUACUGUAUAUGUAUGAAUUUUCUUUCUUGAUCCCAGUACUGAAUAUAAUGUGUGUGAAUGUGGUCAAGAGUUAGAACAAUGACUAUCUGUUCCUUGGUACAAAUUAAUCAGACUGGCUAGAAUGCUUAUCUACACGAGAAAACCUUGACUCGUAAAUUAUAUUAAAUUGGUAGGGAGACUGAUGUGGGAAGGCUUGAGAUACAGCCUUUGUACUGGAACGGAGAUGGCACGGGUUGGGGCUGAAACUAAG